AUAUCCAUGCUAUGGGCAUCUCCUCAAAAGAUCCUUGUAUUUUUCCCAACAUUCAUAUAAGUGUUCAUCGGGCUAUUGAGAGAAAAUUGCAAUCUCAUAUCUCAAUUU